rnacentral:rRNA from 1 species
UCCCGUUGAUCCUGCGGGAGAUUGCUGCUAUUGGGGUUCGAUUAAGCCAUGCAAGUCAUGGGGUUCUUCGGAACACCGGCGUAAUGCUCAGUAACACGUCGAUAAUCUACCUUUAGGUUUGGGAUAACCUUGGAAAACUGAGGCUAAAACCAAAUAGGAAAAUUCUACUGGAAUGUGUUUUUUCUCAAAAGUAAUGCCUAAAGAUGAGUCGGCGGCAGAUUAGGUUGUUGGUGGGGUAAAGGCCCACCAAGCCAAUGAUCUGUACGGGCCUUGAGAGAGGGAGCCCGGAGAAGGACACUGAAAUACUGGUCCUAGCCCUACGGGGUGCAGCAGGCGCGAAACCUCUACAAUGCACGAAAGUGUGAUAGGGGGACCCCAAGUGCUUAUACUUUGUAUAGGCUUUUGCCAAAUGUAAAUAGUUUGGCGAAUAAGUGGUGGGAAAGACUGGUGCCAGCCGCCGCGGUAACACCAGCGCCACAAGUGGCAAUCGCUUUUAUUGGGCCUAAAGCGUCCGUAGCCGGUUUAUUAAGUCUUUUGUGAAAUUGUUCAGCCUAACUGAACAGCGUGCAGAGGAUACUGGUAAACUUGAGACCGGGAGGGGUUAGAGGUAUUCCUUGGGUAGCGGUAAAAUGCUAUAAUCCUUGGAGGACCACCUGUGGCGAAGGCGUCUAACCAGAACGGUUCUGACGGUGAGGGACGAAAGCUAGGGGAGCAAUCCGGAUUAGAUACCCGAGUAGUCCUGGCUGUAAACGCUGCGAGCUAGAUGUUGCAUAUUCCACGUGAAUGUGCAGUGUCGAUGCGAAGGCAUUAAGCUCGCCGCCUGGGAAGUAUGGUCGCAAGACUGAAACUUAAAGGAAUUGGCGGGGGAGCACCACAAGGGGUGCGGCGUGCGGUUUAAUCUAACUCAACGCAGAGAAUCUCACCAAGGGCGACGGCAGGAUGAAAGUCAGGCUAAAGACUUUACUUGACGAGCCGAGAGGUAGUGCAUGGCCGCCGUCAGCUCGUGCCGUAAGGUGUCCUGUUAAGUCAGGCAACGAGCGAGACCUGUACUUACAAUUGCUAACUGCAAGCUUGCUUGGACAGAGCACUUUGUAGGGACUGCCCUGGAAACAGGGAGGAAGGUGCAGGCUACGGUAGGUCUGUAUGCUCCGAAUCCUUUGGGCAACACGCGCGCAACAAUGGUAAGGACAAUGGGAUGCAACUCCGAAAGGAGAAGCUAAACCUCUAAACCUUAUCCAAGUCCAGAUUGAGGUUUGUAACUCAGCCUCAUGACGAUGGAAUCCCUAGUAAUCGGAUGUCAACAUCGUCCGGUGAAUAUGUCCCUGCUCCUUGCACACACCGCCCGUCAAACCAACCGAGCAGGGUUUAGGUGAGUCUCAGCAUAUUUUGGCUGGUCCGAAUCUAAGCUCAGUGAGGUGGGUUAAGUCGUCACAAGGUA